CAGCAGCCGCGGGAAUACGUAGGUGGCAAGCGUUGUCCGGAAUUAUUGGGCGUAAAGGGCUCGCAGGCGGUUUCUUAAGCCUGAUGUGAAAGCCCCCGGCUCAACCGGGGAGGGUCAUUGGAAACUGGGAAACUUGAGUGCAGAAGAGGAGAGUGGAAUUCCACGUGUAGCGGUGAAAUGCGUAGAGAUGUGGAGGAACACCAGUGGCGAAGGCGACUCUCUGGUCUGUAACUGACGCUGAGGAGCGAAAGCGUGGGGAGCGAACAGGAUUAGAUACCCCUGUAGUCCCUGUCUCUUAUAC
rnacentral:rRNA from 1 species